AAAUCAACAGAAGCAGCUUCUAAAUUGCGGCAGGCAGACUGUGGAGCACCACAGUCUCAACAGUAAGCCCAGGCCCAAACCCGAAAAGGACGCCCCAUUCCAACCCUUCUCCAGUAGAUUUAAGCCCAUCCUCGGCAGAUUUCUUCCUCAUCUCGUCCAAAAUAAAGAGCACACAUGCA